AUAAUUUUCUCUGUCAAAUCUCUAGCAACCAAUUCGACAGAAAGUAAAAUUCAUCUGUUAUACCUACUGCUUCGGAUGCUGUUAUAUCGCUUAAUUAUAUUCUGCAUGUAAAUGCAAGUAUGUUAAUCCAGGUUCGGUAUAACAGGAUUAUGACGCAAAUGGUGUAGGUUGCAACAUUGCGAGGCUUUGAUAUAUUUACUGAAGUAUCUGUCAAUAAUGACUGUCAUAUCAUAGGAAAGAUGGAGGUUUCCAAUUAAUGAGAUUAGAAUAGUUUUCUCAAGUUGUUUGGAAAAUAGAUUCUUCGCAAAAUUACGGCGACCAAAUGGAUUCAAUACAGAACAGCAGAAUAUUAUAAAUACACCAAAAUAUUACAAAUACAAAACAGAAUAUUUGAAAUACAAACAGAACUGAAUAUUUCAAGUACACAAAAAUAUUCCAAGUAUAGAACAGAAUAUUCCAAAUACACAGCAGAAUAUUUCAAAUACACAAAAUUAUUUCAAAACAGAACAGAAUAUUUCAAAUACACGGUACAAAAAUGUUGCAAUAUUUGUGAAAUCACGUCGAUAAAAAAAAAUGUAAAAUCUCCCACUUGAUAUCAAAGCAUAUUUUUUUGCACAUUUUGGCAUAUUAGAUGGAGAUGGUGUAGUGAUAACGAAUUCGGCUUGUUAUCACAAGCUUUUAGAUUUAAGCCCCCACUUACCCAAAUUAGUCCCAGGUGUUCCCUAGUUACUCACGCGGUGAAAAAUCACUGAUGUCAUCACCUCGUUUCCAAGUUAUUUGGCAUGAAAGAUCUAAGUGCUUUGUAAUGGCUUCAUCAAUUUAAUAUAGGAUAUUGACGUUAAAGUAGUGUUAUAUAAGAGUAGUCGAUAAGGCCCGUGGAAGAAUCCACUCAGGCAGAAGAUUGGGUUAUUUUAGAUUUUUUGCUAACGUCAGUAGUGCAUAUUACGGAGUUUCAUACCGCGCAAGUCUGGGCGCUAGCGAAGCGCUUUGUAGGGAUAAAUUUUUGUCAUGUUUUCAUUUGUCUCGAUAGCCCAAAUAAUUUUCAUGGUCAGUUGUUCACAACUAUUCUGGUUAGUGCUGCGAAAAGAGGCAGAAAUGCAAAAUCCUGCCUUAUGGUUCUUCAAAUAACUUUUUACUUUAACUUACGUUUUGCUUUUUUAUUAACACGUUUAAAUGUUGUUGCUAACCCUCUUUGUGGUAUAUUGACAUGGGUAAGAUGUUGGAAUCGGAGAAAACUUAAUUUACUGACUUUUAAAGAGACGCAAGAGAAGACAUAUUGUUGAUGUUGGUUUUAGGGGUUAGCUUUCUGAAGUUGCAAGCUACAUAUACCAUACAUUUUGUGUUGUGGGGAAUAAAGUAAUGGUUAAAACGAAACACUAUUCUAUCAUUAUCAGUGCACUUUGGCAAGAAGAAAUAAAAAUUACAGCUAGCUAUAGAAAGACUUAAAGGAAGUUUUUUUACAGUAAGCUAUAGCUAGCUAGCUAUAUAUGGAUCUGCAAGUUUGACAUGGAUUAACGUGGAAAAGCAUUUGAUAAAAGAUUUAUUGGCAAAGUAUAGCUAACUAGUUAUAUAAAAAAGAGCAUAGAUGAAAUCGACUGAAAAUAAAAUACACACUUCAAUGAUAUAAUGACUGGCUUUGACUUUUCGUUAGAAAUUAUUGUAUAUAAAUAUUACAUAGCUAGCUAGGAAGGGAUAUAUAUAUAAUAGCAUGUUACACUA